AACGCGGUAGCUUAAACGUACGAAUUGACAAUCCACAGAUGCGUACGAUCGCGGCCACGGUCGCGUUUACACGAAGCAGACGCGCUCCGAAACUUUCUCAUUUAAGGCCCAGACUAAGACACGCCGCUAAUCUUGACGCUGGUAGCGCAUACGGCAUGUAAUCGCCUCUGCGUCAUUGCCGCUGAAUUUACCGAGGUACAGCUGAUGCUGCAAAUUUAAAAACGUUCAUUUUUUUGCAUAUUUCAGGAGAAACGAAGAUUCCUCCUUGUUUACAGGAAAUUGUACGUAACACCGAGCCAUAGAGAGAAACACGUACAUUCGGCGCAUACACGAUUGGCAGCGACCGGUACGCAUCGGCGUGCGUUAUGCUAUCGCGGCUCCCGAUGAUGGGAGAGUGCAACGCUUCGCUACAAGGUCUCAACCGAGCCGAUUGCACGCAACAAGUACUCAUCUCAAUUGGCGAUUAUGCCCUCGUAAAUUCAUUUUGAGAUCAAGUUGAACGAACACCGCGUGCCUACCACGCGCCUCCUCCCCUCUGUCGCGAUACGGCCUUAAUCCGCAGCUUCGGAAAGCCGACUCCAUUUGCCUGCAAUCGCGUUUCACGACUCUGUUUGGUAAUAAAUGGACUCCAAGUACCAAUCGCGGAUACAGCACGGAAAGGUGACCAUCCGACGACUAAGCCGCCGCGAUCGAGUUCUUUUUCGUCGCGUUCCAGACCAAUCCUUCGAACUGGCCUGAUAAACUCGCGCGUCGAACCACACGGUGGCCAUUCUCCCGAAGGCCACUUAAUAAUAGCCCGUUAUCGGUGUGCUGAAAACUGAUUAAAAUGCGUGCCAGUCAGGAUGUCCCAUUAACAAAUUAGCACGACACGCUACGUAUAGAUAGUACAACGUUGUUACGACCACCUUAUCUGUACUUGUUCGGUCUCUGAAAGCCAUGACCGAUAUGCCGC